rnacentral:rRNA from 1 species
AGUUUGAUCCUGGCUCAGGAUGAACGCUAGCGGCAGGCCUAAUACAUGCAAGUCGAACGGGACUAAGUAGCAAUACUUAGUCUAGUGGCGCACGGGUGCGUAACGCGUAUGCAACCUACCUUUUAUUGGGGGAUAGCCCGUCAAAAGACGGAUUAAUACCGCAUAAUAUCCUUUGAUGGCAUCUGAAGAGGAUUAAAGCUACGGCGAUAAAAGAUGGGCAUGCGUGACAUUAGCUAGUUGGUUGAGGUAACGGCUCACCAAGGCUACGAUGUCUAGGGGUUCUGAGAGGAUGAUCCCCCACACUGGUACUGAGAUACGGACCACACUCCUACGGGAGGCAACAGUAGGGAAUAUUGGGCAAUGGACGCAAGUCUGACCCAGCCAUGCCGCGUGCAGGACGAAGGCCUUCUGGGUUGUAAACUGCUUUUUUACGGAAAGAAAAAACUCGUGCGUGAGGAACUGACGGUACCGUAAGAAUAAGCACCGGCUAACUCCGUGCCAGCAGCCGCGGUAAUACGGAGGGUGCAAGCGUUGUCCGGAUUUAUUGGGUUUAAAGGGUGCGUAGGCGGCCUAUUAAGUCAGUGGUGAAAGCCCAUCGCUCAACGAUGGAACUGCCAUUGAUACUGAUAGGCUUGAGUACAGACGAGGUUGGCGGAUUUGAUG